CCUACGGGAGGCAGCAGUAGGGAAUAUUGCUCAAUGGGGGAAACCCUGAAGCAGCAACGCCGCGUGGAGGAUGAAGGUUUUCGGAUUGUAAACUCCUUUUGUUAGAGAAGAUAAUGACGGUAUCUAACGAAUAAGCACCGGCUAACUCCGUGCCAGCAGCCGCGGUAAUACGGAGGGUGCAAGCGUUACUCGGAUUCACUGGGCGUAAAGGGCGCGUAGGCGGGAUAGCAAGUCAGAUGUGAAAUCCUGUGGCUUAACCGUAGAACUGCAUUUGAAACUGGUAUUCUAGAGUAUGGGAGAGGUAGGUGGAAUUCUUGGUGUAGCGGUAAAAUGCGUAGAGAUCAAGAAGAAUACUCAUUGCGAAGGCGGCCUGCUAGAACAUAACUGACGCUGAUGCGCGAAAGCGUGGGGAGCAAACAGGAUUAGAUACCCUUGUAGUC
rnacentral:rRNA from 1 species